rnacentral:rRNA from 1 species
GGAGGAAAGCAGGGGAUCGCAAGACCUUGCGCUUUUGGAGUGGCCGAUGCCUGAUUAGCUAGUUGGUAGGGUAAUGGCUUACCAAGGCGACGAUCAGUAGUUGGUCUGAGAGGACGACCAGCCACACUGGGACUGAGACACGGCCCAGACUCCUACGGGAGGCAGCAGUGGGGAAUUUUGGACAAUGGGCGAAAGCCUGAUCCAGCAAUGCCGCGUGAGUGAAGAAGGCCUUCGGGUUGUAAAGCUCUUUCAGUCGAGAAGAAAAGGUUGUGACUAAUAAUCACAACUCAUGACGGUAUCGACAGAAGAAGCACCGGCUAACUACGUGCCAGCAGCCGCGGUAAUACGUAGGGUGCGAGCAUUAAUCGGAAUUACUGGGCGUAAAGGGUGCGCAGGCGGCUUUGUAAGUCAGAUGUGAAAUCCCCGGGCUUAACCUGGGAAUUGCGUUUGAAACUACAAGGCUAGA